rnacentral:rRNA from 1 species
UACGUAGGGUGCAAGCGUUGUCCGGAAUUAUUGGGCGUAAAGAGCUCGUAGGCGGUCUGUCGCGUCGAUCGUGAAAACUUGGGGCUUAACCCUGAGCUUGCGGUCGAUACGGGCAUGACUGGAGUUCGGCAGGGGAGACUGGAAUUCCUGGUGUAGCGGUGAAAAUGCGCAGAUAUCAGGAGGAACACCGGUGGCGAAGGCGGGUCUCUGGGCCGAUACUGACGCUGAGGCGCGAAAGCGUGGGGAGCAAACAGG